CCCCCCGCGGAAGUUUCCCGGUCCCCCCCAUCCCGGUGGCGGCCCCGUUCGGGCGGCGGAGGUGAGGGCCGGGGUCCCGCCCGCGCCGCCCCCGCGUCUGCGAAGUUGUGCGCGGCCGCACCGCGCCGCCGCUCCCCACCGGGGCCCCGUACGGCCCGGGGUCCCCGCGGCAGCCCCCUGCCCGCUCUCUGUUCCCCCGGCCCGGCUCUCUCUGUCCUCAGCUCCUCUCUCCCUCCUCGGCUUCCCCUCUCCAUCCUUACCCAGUUCUCCCGUUCCUCAUCCCUCCCCAGCUGCUCAGUGCAUCUUUGGCCCCUCAGCUCGUUCCCUCCCCUCCAGCUCCCAUGUCUUGCCUCCCCCUCCUUGCCUGUGGUGUUCCUCCCCUCCCCUGGCUCCCCUUUCUUUCCACCACGUAUUGGCUUUUGGAGCGGCACCUCCAGCCUGGUGGGGUGCUGCCAGCAGCCCCCAUGCCCUGCUGUGCCCUGCUCCAUCCCAGCCCAUAGCUCCCUUUGUUCUUCUCCGGGUUCCUUCCCCUGCCGAAGCCCCUUGACAGCUGCCCCACGCCCUCCUGGUCCCCCUGCCUGUGCUGUCACGGGGUUUACGGGGCCAGUGCCCGGCUCUUGGGGCUGCUCGCCUGCCGCACCUCUCUGCUUGCUGCAACUUCAUCCUUGCUCGCAGCUCAAAGGGUCCCGCUGGCCUCCCACGGGUGCAAAGGGAAUAAAAGGUCCAAGGGGUGCAAAAACAUGAGGGCCACACAUCUUUCACAAGCUGCCUUGCUGGGUGUCCAGGCUCAGAGGACCGUGGGCAUAGGGGGCUCAUUCUCCCUGGCAGACAAAGCACUGGCUUUACCUGGGCCAGCCAGGAGUGGGGACCAAGCUGGGGGUGAGCACAGCAUCCUUGGGAGUGGGGAAGCCUCAGCAGCUCCAGUUUAGGAGUCAGCACGCAUGCCAGAGCUGUGGACGGGUGUCUUAGCUUGGCAGGUGUUUUCCUGGAGCCCCUUUGGUAGAGCCUGCUGUGGUAGGCUGCCCUGAUCUCGGGUGUCUAGCCUAGUAGUCCUUGCCAGCCCUCCCACUAGGGAUGGGUGAUAAGCACUACUGGGGCUUCCUUGGCUUGGGCAGCCCCCAGUCCCAUCCCUGCAGCCUUAGCUGGCAGGCACCAUGGCAGGAACCUGCUGAGCAACUGCUGUCCCUAGCCAAAGCCAGUGCUGCAGCAGGAGCCAAAACCAGAGGUGUCAGCCACUCUCAGGGUGAGGUGUGAGCAAAGGCUUCCAAGGCUGUGGGGUCUAACAGGGAGUCACCUUCUGGGGCACACAGUAUGCACUUACCCACACUGCAAACUGUCACCUGCUUUCUUCUCACCAGGAGGGUCUGAGCCUGCUCGAGGCUGGGCCAGGCAGGUGUGGGAGCAAAUACCCUUUCCCAGGGUCUUCCCAGUUGUUCUCCACGUGCUUUCGAUAGUACCUUGUCUGAGCAGUUUUGCAGCGACUCCUCCAGUGCUGGUCAGGUAUCAGCUCUUACUGCUUCUGUUGCAAGUAUGGGUAAAUAUCAGUGUCCUUGUUCCUUUAAAGCCUUAGGUUUUGGAGUGUUCUCAUUGUGGGGGGAUUAUGGUUUGAACUGAAUAUGGUCUUUCUACUCAUGAUGCUGUAGAAAUCCCAGGUUUGUGAUCUAAGCACCCCUUGAAGACUGAGUAGGUGCUCAGUGCUGAGCAGAAUGACAUAAAGUUGUGUUGCCUCAAAGUGGAAAACUUGUGAUCCAAGGGGUACAGGCUGGUGCUGGCAGGUUUGGUGACACAAAGGUUUUGCUCUCGUUAGGUGACUUUUCUCCUCACCAGGAGCAGGUCACAAUCCAUGCAAAAUAGGAAAAGGGCAGUGAAAAGCCACAGGUUCAGUUGAAGCAAAGGUUCCCUAGGCUGGGGAGCUGGAGCCUCUUUCAGUUUCUUUUCAGAGAGCAGCGAUAGCUGGAGGUCCUGAGCUUGACCAGCUCUUCAGGAUGUAGGAGCAGAGGAUGAUAUGGACCAGUCCAGUCCCAGGACUCCAUUCCUGUUCCACAGCUGGCAGGGUGGCAGCAGUGCUUGGCCUAGAGUGGUCUCUCUCAGUGUGCCCUCUUUCAUGUGCUUGCAGCUCUGCACUGGUAUGAGCUUCACAUGUCCAUUAACGAUACAAACCUAAAGUCCUAUGUGGUGGCAGAGCAGGAUAGCACUUCUCCUGGCCCUCUCCCUUGGAAACCUCCCAUCCUCUGAGUGAUCUGGGGACAGAGUGCUCCUGCUCUUGUUUGCUGUGUGUGUGUGUUUGUGGGUUGUCAUGCUUGCCGCAAUGAGGUUUGCUGCCCCGUGGGUUGCUGUUGUGUCGGGUGGAGUUGUAACCAGGGAUGCUGGGGUAAGAGGGUUUCCCUGGGGCUGGGUUCCUCGUGCCUUCAGGAGCACUGGGCAGGUGUGCUUGACCAUACCGUGUCCUUUUGCUUCCUGGGGUUUUGGCCCCGUCCUGCACUGGAUGUCCAAAGGCCUGACACCAGUGGCAGCAUGUGCUGCCUGUUUAGAGGUGGGAGUCCUGCAACCACUGCAUUUGCUCUGUCGCCAGUGCUGCUGGCAGCCUGCUUGUCCCUUGUUCAGUAACUCCCAUGUUGCCUUUUAACCAAGUACUGAGAAGAGAGAAGUUCUGCCUGAGCAGGAGGGCAGAGGCUUGCCCUGGCAGCUCGAAGAAGCAAUGGAGGUGCUUUGUAAGCGGCACCGAGGAGGUUCCCGCCAUGCUCGCACUGUCCCUCCUCUCCAUGGGCAUCUGUGAGCGGUCCAGACCUUGUGGCAGGCGCUGCACACCAGGGUCAUGGUUUGCCCCUGGGCGCAUGCUGCCCCAGCGAGGCCAGCUGGAUCCUCGCCGCGGGAGUUAUCCAGCUUUUUUCCCCCCUCCGGAGCGGGCGUUUGGCCGGCUGCCAGGGCUGCGGGGCUCCACCUAGGAGGCAACAUGGAGCAAGGCGGCCGGCGGCGGCAGGGCCGCCGUCUCGGGAGACUACGCGUCCCAGCGUGCAGCUCUCGGCGCCUGGCAGCGGCAGGGAGCGAGGGGAGCAUUGCAUCCCGGGAUCGCGAAUCUCCAUGCGCCACGUGGGGGCUGACAGCCUCCUGUGCUCCGAGGCAGCAGUGCUGGGGGUCCUGGAGGAUCACUGUGGAUCCCCCUCUCUCAGUGUAAGCACAGACCUCAGCCUCUUGCUGUCACUUCCCUGAACUGUGGCUCUCAGCUCCUGCUCUCCUGGUCAAGUCUUGUCUCUGUGGAGGGCUGCCCUGAGCAACAAGCCCCACAAUACCAUGCAGAGCUGUGUAGUUUUGCUCCACCAUGUGCGUGGCAGACCAGCAGCUGUGAGCAGGGAUGUUGGCUUCAUGUUCUGCAGGGCCGUAGGCAUGGUUAGCUGUAACUGAAUUAUUCUGUGUUGCCGCAGAGCCUAGCGAACCUUUGAUGAUGAAAAUCCUAGUUUGUCAGGAGGCUUUUAUUCUAGGUAUGCUGACAGGGGUUUUUUUCCAUCCCCAUGGUUCCCACAUGACAUUGUUUGCCAGUGCUGUGCCGAUGUGUGCUGCAGGAGGGAUGUCAGCCUGGUCACUGCAGAGUGUCAGGACCCCAGGGUGAAGGGGUCUGGGAGAGAGGGAAAGUGUCUGAAAAUUUGAAAGGUGCGUUUCUGGGGCUGAAACCGACAGCGUUUGAUUAUGGAUCAUCUUUGAGACAGUGAACUGAAAGGAGUAAUUAGGGACAGUGGGAUAUUUCCCUGAGAGUUGCAGGAAAUGACUGCCUCGUGAUAAGUUGAUAGUAGUGGAGCUGAAACUGGGUUAUCUGUGGGAUUGCAUCUGGGGCUUGCAGCCGUGAACGUGAUUCAAUUUUCUGGCUGUUUUGCAAUUGUCAGGGUGUGCUUUUCUCCCUUUUUCCCUCCUGGAGAAUUCCCUGUCUACGUGUCUGAAUCAUCUGAGGAAGAAAAUUGGAAAGGGGAGACUCCUGUUGUCCCUAGGUACUGCAGGGCAGUGCAGUUCCCUGGGGCCCCACCUGAAUGUCCAGCUCCAGAGGAUGCCUUCCUGGGAGACUCUAGACCCUGGCGGAGUUGGGGCUGUGGGAGGCUGAGCCCUGACCUGCAAAUCCACAUCUCGGACAUGUUCUCUUCACCUGAUGCUUUCAGAUAGCACUGCUUUGCAGCCUACAUCAAGAUUGUCACUUUGUAAUAAUUAGCUGCAGGUAAUUAUCCCUUCUCUGGCUGUCCCCUUAAAUUUGUGACCUUGUGUGCAGAGAAGAGCACCUUUGGGUUCAGAUGCUUUGUGUGCUGCUGUGCCGGACUUUUGCACUAAUGUUGCAGGAUUUGACCUGGGGCUGAGACAUCAUGCACAUGGUGUGGUGUGGGCAGGGAGGCAGCUUGUGGUCCACAUAAGCUCUGUGGAUGGCUCAGAUGUGCAGCUUGGGAAAAGAGAGAGUAAUCCCUGCAUGCAGGUGGCGAUGGAGGUUUUGCCUUUGACAGGUCAGAGCCAGGCAGUGUCCUGGCUGAGGUCAGCCUCUGGAUGCCACUGAGUCCGUAGCACAUGGUCUCCUCCAAAAGUAGUAUCUCCUCUUCCUUGGAGAGCUCAGCCUCGUGGGAGCUUCAACUUCACCAGUUGUGCAUUUUUAAAGCAAUUGGGGUUUCUGCAAAUUGAUAUUUUCACUGAUAAUGUCUCAGGCUGUGUCUUGGUGGGUUCCCCCUAGGCUCCUGUGGGCUUAACAAUGGCAUUGGAGUUUGCAACUGGCCUCUUCCCAAUCCCCUCUAUUCCAAAGAAAAGGAGAAAGAAGAGGUGAUGGCAGGCUUGUGGUGGCAGACCAUGGUCUGCUCCAUGUGCCUCUGCCUGUCCCAGUCACUCUGAAUACUUCGUGUUUGCCUCCCAGCCCUGCCAACUUCCCGGACAUCAGGCACUGUCACUGGGCAAAACCCCAUGAAUUAUUUGAGACGCUGCCCUGCACCCAGUCCCAGAUACCACCCUCAUGCAAGCGGUACUGGCCUAGGAAGAUGUAUUUCUUCCCCUAUCAGGGCGCCCACACCCCAUCGAGGCAGCCCUGCGAAACAAUGCCGCUAUUUACCCUUUAAAGCCUCGCUAUUUACCCUUUAAAGCCUCGUUAGGCAGCCGGGAAGCACCGGCCCAGCUGCUUUUAGCAGAGGCUGGCCUCUCUUCUUCCCGGGCUGCUGGGAGGAGCAGGACGCUCCCUGGCUGAACUGUAACCCUGCAGCAUAUUUCAUGCUUCACUCCUUCAUUUUUUUUCAUAAUUUAUGUUUUUAGCCUCUGCCUUGUUGGUGAGCUUUGCUGCUUACACAGAGAGCACACUGGUUGCCCACACGGGGGUGGCUCCUGUCUGGUAGGGGGGGCACCAAUUACUGCCAGCAGUUACAGGUCUAGGAGGAACAAGAUGAUGCUGCUUUGCCUUUGUCCUCAGCAGUUCUUUGCUCUUUGAUGGUGAACUGAAGUUAUGGGAGUUCAGGCAGGACUUUUCUCCCUGGUUUCCAUGUCCCGUGCCCAGGCAGGCAGCUCCAAGGUGCUGAUUUCAGCUCACAGUACUGUGCUGUCUCCUGGCUGUGUUGGCUCUGUGAGGUGUCCACCAUGCUUUUGGUGCCUUGGGAAAUCUGAUGUUCCCCAACUCUGUGAGCUUGGCUAGGAUGUGACUCAUUCCUGCUCCAGCAAACCCACCAGACAGUAGACCAGAAUGGCUGAUAGUUCACAAGCAGGAACAGCAGAGGAGAAGGCAUGUGGAAGGUUGGGCAGUGCUGGGCUGUAUAUGAGUCAUGGGCAGAGCACCUGCCUUCUGUUCCCUGGGCGGUUGCCCACCUGUAGCUGUUUACUUGCCCAUGCUUUUCCAGCCGGUCUGUGGACCUGGCCUUGGCCGAGGAUGCUGAGCUGUGAGAUCCCUUCCCGGGGUUCCCUUCUCCUGCACCUCCACACUGAGGAGGAGCCAUGGAGCCUCCCACCUGGCCACGAGCACUGUGCUGUUUGCCCAGACCUGCCUGGGCCGGUAGCUCACCAGCUGCAGUGUCAGCCUGAUUUUUUCCCUUGCUGAAUGUUUUUGUGUCACUGGGCCAGCACCUGUGAGCGGCCACAGGAAGCAUCUCCUGUUCCCUCAUGUUCCACAGGGGCAUUGCAUGCACAGCCACCAGGCAGCAUCCCUGUUUGCACCAAGCCUGCCUGCAUCACCAUGCCUGCCCAGGUCCUGUGCUCACAGCAGGAGGCAGAGCAGGAGCAUGCCGAAACAGCAGCUAGGGCCAGGCGCUUGGGACAGGCCACAUUCUGCGUGUCUGUGUCACUGCACCUGGCUGGACAGGGCUUGCAGGCAGCUGGGGCAGUAUGAAGGAGAUAGGUGGUGAUGGAGGGAUGUCCUGGACCAGACAGCAUGGCCUGUGUAUCCUGGCACAGGUCACUCAGAGCUCGAAAAGCAGGGUGUCUCCAUAUUAACCUGUUGGGAAAAGCCCAGAGUGGAAAUGGAGGCUUGGGUAGAAGUGAUGGCCUGGCUUGUCUUCUGUCCCAUCUCCAGCAGCAAGGAGCUAGGGAAGAGCAUGAGAAGCACAAUGGAUGGAUGUCUCCCUGGUCUCACCACACCAGGACACCUUCCCUGCACUCUGAAAAACAAGAUGUGGACUGAGGAUAGCAAGAAGCCUUCGGAAUUUAGUCUUCCCAUGUCUCAUCAGUGAAUAAAAACAAAGAAUCGAAGGAUGAGACCUGCUGGAUCUGAUUUUUUUCUGCCCCUCAGGACAUGAUGACCAGAAACAAGCAGUGCAUCAGCCACUGCUGUCUCUGCCUAAUGAAUUGGUUUGUUUUCAACAGAAGUUUGGGAGUUUUGGGAAGUUUCCUAUGUGCUGAACACGCUUCAGUGUCAUGUUGUAUAACAACAUGGAAUGGAGGAAAUAGAAAUGCUGUGUUUCUAGUACAGUUUGGGGUGAAUUAUUGUCUGUUAGGCACAAAUUGAUGUGGAUAAAGCAGAAAGCAAAAACUCCUCUGCAGCAGCAACUGACCAGCACUGAACUCCCUAUUAAAAAUUGUUUUAUCUAUGAAAACA